UGAGGAAUAUUGGGCAAUGGAGGCAACUCUGACCCAGCCAUGCCGCGUGCAGGAAGACGGCCCUCUGGGUUGUAAACUGCUUUUGUUUGGGAAUAAACCCUUCUACGUGUAGGAGGCUGAAGGUACCUUACGAAUAAGCAUCGGCUAACUCCGUGCCAGCAGCCGCGGUAAUACGGAGGAUGCAAGCGUUAUCCGGAUUUAUUGGGUUUAAAGGGUCCGUAGGCGGAUCUUUAAGUCAGUGGUGAAAGCCCACAGCUCAACUGUGGAACUGCCAUUGAUACUGGAGAUCUUGAGUGUAGUAGAAGUAGGCGGAAUAGGGCAUGUAGCGGUGAAAUGCAUAGAUAUGCCCUAGAACACCGAUUGCGAAGGCAGCUUACUAUGUUAC
rnacentral:rRNA from 1 species